UUAUUAGGUUAUAAUAAAAGAUACAUUUUAUACACAAAUAGUUUGUGAAAAGGCAGACAACCUCCCAGAGGAGGCCAUCUUACAGUGCACAGGUGUUAUGGAUGUGAAGGGUGCAAGAGGCUUGCCAAAGGCAGAGACACUCAAGCGUUUGUAUUCACUAAUGAUCCUUCCGCAGGUUCACCUACGGAAA
rnacentral:misc_RNA from 1 species